UACGAAGGGGGCUAGCGUUGCUCGGAAUCACUGGGCGUAAAGCGCACGUAGGCGGAUUGUUAAGUCAGGGGUGAAAUCCUGGAGCUCAACUCCAGAACUGCCUUUGAUACUGGCGAUCUUGAGUCCGGGAGAGGUGAGUGGAACUGCGAGUGUAGAGGUGAAAUUCGUAGAUAUUCGCAAGAACACCAGUGGCGAAGGCGCUCACUGGCCCGAUACUGACGCUGAGGCACGAAAGCGUGGGGAGCAAACAGG
rnacentral:rRNA from 1 species